UACGUAGGGUGCGAGCGUUAAUCGGAAUUACUGGGCGUAAAGCGUACGCAGGCGGCUAUGCAAGACAGAUGUGAAAUCCCCGGGCUUAACCUGGGAACUGCAUUUGUGACUGCAUAGCUAGAGUUUGUCAUAGGGGGGUGGAAUUCCACGUGUAGCAGUGAAAUGCGUAGAGAUGUGGAGGAACACCGAUGGCGAAGGCAGCCCCCUGGGACCUGACUGACGCUCAUGUACGAAAGCGUGGGGAGCAAACAGG
rnacentral:rRNA from 1 species